AACGAACGCUGGCGGCAUGCCUAACACAUGCAAGUCGAACGAGACCUUCGGGUCUAUUGGCGCACGGGUGCGUAACGCGUGGGAACCUGCCCUCAGGUUCGGAAUAACUCCCCGAAAGGGGUGCUAAUACCGGAUAAUGUCUUCGGACCAAAGAUAUAUCGCCUUUGGUUGGGCGGGCGUUGGAUUAGCUAGUUGGUAGGGUAAAAGCCUACCAAGGCGACGAUCCAUAGCUGGUCUGAGAGAAUGCUCAGCCACACUGGGGCUGGGACACGGCCCAGACUCCUACGGGAGGCAGCAGUGGGUAAUGUUGGACAGCGGGCGGAAGCCUGAUCGAGCAAGGCCGCGUGAGUGAUGAAGGCCUUAGGGAUGUAAAGCUCUUUUACCCGGGAUGAUAAUGACGGUACCGGGAGAAUAAGCUCCGGCUAACUCCGUG
rnacentral:rRNA from 1 species